GCUAGUAAUCGCGGAUCAGAAUGCCGCGGUGAAUACGUUCCCGGGUCUUGUACACACCGCCCGUCACACCAUGGGAGUCGGAAAUGCCCGAAGUCUGUGACCCAACCGUAAGGAGGGAGCAGCCGAAGGCAGGUCGGAUGACUGGGGUGAAGUCGUAACAAGGUAAC
rnacentral:rRNA from 1 species